GGCCGCCCGCGCGCGGGGUGUGUGAGGACGCGCUCUUGGUCGCCGAGUGCCAGAGCUGGGGAGCAGUUGCUGUGGUACCUGCUGCUACUGGGGUGGACACUGAGCAUCGGACAUUAAGGCGUGGGGUGCUGCGCUGCGGGUCGGGAAGGUGAAGUCAUGACGUCUUCCAGUGAAAAUGUGCUCUUUGGAAUGGGAAAUCCUCUACUUGACAUCUCUGCUAUAGUAGACAAAGAUUUCCUUGAUAAGUAUUCGCUGAAACCAAAUGACCAGAUCUUGGCUGAAGACAAGCACAAGGAAUUGUAAGUUCAUUAGAUCUC